UUCAUUUUUGUGUUGUUUUUUUUUGUUGCAAUGAUUUAUCUAGCAAACACAGCUAUUCAAGCAAGUCAAGAUUUUUUGAAAUCUCAGAGACCAAUGGCCAUCAAGUGUUUGAUAAAAUGUCUGUGUGAAACUUGGGAUAGCAGAGAAAACACGGAGAGAAUGAUCGCACAGGGAACAAAGGGAACGUUGUUGACACCCUUAACGGUGAUUCUGACAAGUGAAUUUAUUCUGGGAAUGAUAGAUCUGAGAUGAACUUGGCUAAUGCGGUGGCUUAUUUUUUCCUAGGAGUGCUAAUGGGUUUGUCAAGAGUAUUGGAGCUGGUGGAGUUGAGAGCAGAAGUCAGCAAACUUUUGUGCGUUCUGGGGUUGGAAAAGAAAUUAUCCCUCAGUCAUCUAAGCCAGCUCAAGAGAAGAAGCCCCAGGUUUCUACUACUAAUGGUCAUGCUACAGCCCCUGCUGUUAAAAACUUUUGGCUUAAGACCCAAAAAUCUAUCCAUAUUGAGAUAGAAUGCACCAUUAGAUGCCCAUCAUGCAAGGAAGAAACUGGCGUUAAAGCGAGGUAAUGGCAAAAUAUGAUAGGUGUCGCUUGGGAUUUGUGGUAAAUGAUGUAACAGGAUCUUUACAUGCUGCAAUUUUCAGUCCAUACGCUUUGAAAUUGUUAUCAUAUACCGCUCUUCAUCUAGCCAGUUGAUGACCAAGACAAAAGGACAGCGAAGAACAACACUAUCAAGGCAUAUACUACUGAGGUUGGAAGUCAAAUUUUGAUAGCAAUCCCAAAAGAAGAUCACAAAAGAUGUUCCCAAAUUUCAUAUCAAUGCUCAAGAUCCUUUAUGAUGGCGUUCUCAUAAAGAACUUGAUGGAGUAAAUGCAAGUUAGCAAUCUAAUUAGUGGGCAGUUAGUAUUUCAAUUUAUAGUUGUCUAGGAUAUAGCACUACUAAAAAGUUUAUGACAGCUUGUUGAAUUACUUGGCAGUGGGAAGGUAGAAAAGAUGUUAAUAUUGAACCAGAGCUCAGUUUCCAAACUCUGUUAUUUUACUCAAAUGAUGAAUUUGU